GAUGAACGCUAGCGGCAGGCCUAAUACAUGCAAGUCGAACGGUGUAGCAAUACACAGUGGCGCACGGGUGCGUAACACGUAUGCAACCUACCUUACAUUGGGGGAUAGCCUUUCGAAAGGGAGAUUAAUACCGCAUGAGACAGUAACUAGGCAUCUAGUAGCUGUUAAAGAUUUAUCGAUGUAAGCUGGGCAUGCGUCCAAUUAGUUAGUUGGCGAGGUAAUGGCUCACCAAGACGAUGAUUGGUAAGGGAACUGAGAGGUCAAUCCCCCACACUGGCACUGAGAUACGGGCCAGACUCCUACGGGAGGCAGCAGUAGGGAAUAUUGGGCAAUGGGCGCAAGCCUGACCCAGCCAUGCCGCGUGCAGGAAGAAGGCGUUAUGCGUUGUAAACUGCUUUUAUACAGGAAGAAACGACCCUUGCGAGGGGCAUUGACGGUACUGUAUGAAUAAGCACCGGCUAACUCCGUGCCAGCCGCCGCGGUAAAAC
rnacentral:rRNA from 1 species